CCGAGUGAGGGCCCCUGGCCCGACCUCCAACCCUUUGUUGAACUUCCGCGUUGCCUCGGGGGCGACCCGGCCGUUCGUGCCGGGACCCCCGAUGGACCCAACCAAAACUCUUUGCAUGUCGUGCGUCGGAGUAUUAAAGAAAAUCAAUCA
rnacentral:misc_RNA from 2 species